rnacentral:rRNA from 1 species
UACGUAGGGAGCGAGCGUUGUCCGGAAUUACUGGGCGUAAAGGGUGCGUAGGCGGCAUGGCAAGUCAGAUGUGAAAUCCCCGGGCUUAACUCGGGAGUUGCAUUUGAAACUGCUGUGCUUGAGUGCAGGAGAGGAAAGCGGAAUUCCUAGUGUAGCGGUGAAAUGCGUAGAUAUUAGGAGGAACACCAGUGGCGAAGGCGGCUUUCUGGACUGUAACUGACGCUGAGGCACGAAAGCGUGGGGAGCAAACAGG